rnacentral:rRNA from 1 species
CCCUUAGAUGUUCUGGGCUGCACACGUGCUACACUGGCAGGUUCAGCGAGCUUCAUGCCCUGAUCUGAAAGGAAUGGGAAAUCUUUUCAAAACCUGCCGUGCUUGGGAUAGAUGUUUGCAAUUAUUCAUCUUCAACGAGGAUUGCCUUGUAAGCGCAUGUCAUCAGCAUGCAUUGAAUACGACCCUGUAUUCUGUACACACCGCCCGUCGCCCCUACCGAUUGAGUGAUCCGGUGAAUAAUUCGGACUGCGGCAAUGUUCAGCUCCUGAAUGUUGCUGCGGAAAGUUUAGUGAACCUUAUCACUUAGAGGAAGGAGAAGUCGUAACA